GGGGCCGGGAGGAGCGCAGAGCCUCGCGCCCGGAUGCCCGGCCAGCUAGCAGCGCGGGCAGCGGCUUUAUGUUGAUGGCAAAUUGUCACUUUGGCGGAAUUCAGGAACGCUACUUAUGUCAUUAGGCGGCAAUCUAUAAUUAACGCACUCAAGGCUGUGUGAAGGGUAGGAUUCUUCCAGGGACAGCUAGAGCGAUUCCACCUGCAUCUUCUGGGAGCGGGGAAUGUUAGUGGACCCCCCGGUGUGUAGAAGUUCAGCAAGAUUAAAAGCCAAUACAAGGUGAGCAUGUCCUGGAAAACUUUCAGCUUCCAUAGAAUGUUGGCAGAAUAUGCACGUAUGAAGAAGUGAAAUAAAAAAGUGGAGUUAAUUUUCUGCAGCGUUUCCAUAUUUCUGCUGCUGUGAACAAGGACACACAAGGCCACUUUCUUUAGGAAGUUUCCCCUACGCUCACGAGGGGGAUGAAACGUGCCGUCUUCCCUGAUGUUUCAUCCUGGCUCUGUUGGGUUGUUUUUGGUGACAUUGAACAGAAAAUCUGGCCCAGUGAGGCAUACAUAAUGGCCCUCAUAUGUAAAGAGAAGUCCAGAGCAGUGCUUGGAAAUAAAGCAGAACCAUGCACCCAGCAACACCUUUGAUCUCGACCAUAUGGAGCCCCACCAAGCUCUGGAAAAAAAAUCUCCCUUGCCUCCACAGCCGGCCGAGAGAAGCGGGGGCCCCCAGAUGGCCAGAUACCAUGGGCGCCCGCACCCCAUGGCUUGUCUUGUCUUCUGAUUGGUCCCCAGUGCAAAGGCAGGGGACUCGCUUCUCACGCUGGAGGCAAAUCCGUGUCCCCAACGUUGGUGAGGUUGACAGUUUUCACAACUCGGUUUUGGGGGGGAAAUAUUUGAGUAAACAGCCCUGACCCUGUUGGGUUUGUUUUAGAGUGGAAUCUCACCAUCAGGACAGAGCAAAAAUGUCAUGGGCCCCUAGACCAGUGUGGAAAGCUCACUAAACCAUUUUUCCAGCUGAGGCUUUUUCCUCUCUUUCUUUUGUUAAAUCCUUGGGUCUCUAACUUUGCUGAUCAUCGUCUUGAGAAUUGACCACAUGGGAAGACUGAUUUACACACUGGGUCAGCCUGAGAAGGAAAAAGCCCAUGACCAAUGACAUCGGGGGGCCCAGAGGGAAGCCGGCUGAGGCAGAGGGAGCAAGUGGGCCGUGGCCAAGGGCCAAGGACCUGCAUCCUCAUCUUCCUCUCACCAGCAUGGGGAUUGGCAGGUUUAAGAGGCAGUUAGGAGAGGCAGGUGUGAGUAAUGGGAACAGCACUGGCUUUCACCAAGCAACCAGGUUCACGACAGCCGUCAUGUGACCUCGGGCACGUGACUCCACCUCUCUGUGAGGCAGUUUGCUCAUGGAUUCUUCUGCAAUUCUGAAACAUGAAAGUGCCAAAAGUCAACGCUUUGAUAAUUUCAUAGCAGACUCAUGUGGUGGCAAAGCCUGACCUGAGCUGACGUGAGACUAUUUGUAAUCUUUAUUUAUGCUGCUUAAUGCAGGUACUCAUUCAUUCUGCUGUGGAAAUAGUCCUGUCUGGGACAGUCGAAGGCUGCCCUAGACUCCAUUGGGAUAUUAUAUGUUUACUUUUGUAAAAUCCAAAAUAUCC
rnacentral:lncRNA from 1 species